AGAAUGAAAGAAUGAAAGAAUGAAAGAAAGAAAGAAAGAAAAGAAAGCUUCAUGUUCUGAUGUUUCCU
rnacentral:ribozyme from 1 species